rnacentral:lncRNA from 1 species
UUUAGGGUUUAGGGUUUAGAGUUUAGGGUUUAGGUUUUAGAGUUGAGAAAUGAGGUUUUGGGGAUAAGAUUUCAAAUUUUGAAAAAUAAAAAAAUUAAAAUUUUCAAAGGAUAAACUUAGAAAUGUGCUAUUUUGGUCAUUUUAGUUCUUGAGUGCUAUUUUUGUGAUAUAAACUUAGAAAUGUGUUAUUUUGGAGAUUUGCCCUUAU